GCAUUUGAACCUAAUACAAGUUUCUGUGUAUUCAUUUGGGCCCUAACUCGAGCAGGCGGCUGGCAUAAAGCCCCAAUGUGGCAGUGGGGCUCGGCAGCUUUUGGCGGAAAGAUUUAUCGUAACAUGCUUGGUCCACAUUGUCACAACUUUCAGAUGCACUAUAAGAUGUUUUCCCAGAAAAAGAGCAUCAGGGCCAAGGGACAAUGAUGCAUCUUGAUAAGCAGACACAACUUACAAUUUUAAAUAAUAGAUUGGUUUGUUUUAAUAAAUUUAAGAAACCUAAUUUAUAUUCUUGGAUGAAACCAUGAGCCUUGCAUGCAUAUACUCUGAAAGAGACUAUAAGAUUGUGUGUGUUUUUCCCUUUGGUAAUAUUGGCAAUAGGUCAUGGGUGAUGUAGGAGGCUGAGCUAAAAGCAGAGGUUGACUUAAGUCAUGUCUUUGUAAAACUACUUACAUUCUUUAUUAAAAAAUAUUUUAUUUUAUAUUUUUGCACACAAGUGUUUUGCUUGUGUAUAUGUCUAUGUACCACGUGUCGCCUGGUGCUCUCAGAAGCAGGAGGAUGGCAUCAGUUUACCUGUAACUGAAGUUACAGAUGUUUGUGAGCUGCCAUGUGGGUGCUGGUAGUUGCAUCCAGUUUCUCUGGAAGAAGGUAUUUCCUGUUUUGUCAUGAUUUGUAUGAAACUUCAUUGAAAAACUGUGUAGUUCAAGAAUUUCUCCUAUCUCUCUGAGCCUUCAUCCAGCAGCUGAUGGAAGUAGAAGCAGACACCCAUGGCUAAAC